UACGAUUUUAGAGACGAAUACAUUUUAUUUUUCAACUUUUUUCGUCCGAAGUCUCAUCAUUACUAUGUUUGUUUAAUAUACGAUGUAUUAUGAUACGGUAUAUCUAUUAAAAAAGUAAUUAUUUUAAGUUUCAAACAAUACCUUCGUUUUUUUGGUUUAACGAUUUUAUGUUUUCGUUUUUCCUAGAGGACUGUAGAACAGUUGAGCUGUGAAUAUUCU